CGAUCAUUUCCAACUUACACCAUCGUGAUGUUAUGUUUUGCACAAAUCGCUUUAUAGGAUGUUCUCUACUUCUUAGGAAAACACACAUAUUACCGACCGGCAUUUACCGAAGGCCUCUGAUCCUUCGAUAAUGAAGUGGUGAAAUAAUUUACUGAGGGCUCUUGACAUUCGAUAAUGUGCGCGAUGGAUUUAAGUAAAUAAUUUGGGUUUCCUUCCCCCAAUUUUAGAAAUCUCCUACCCUCGUUUGUCGCUCGCGCUUGCCUUAAGCCAAAUAUCAGAAGUUGCUUGGGUUUUGGGAGUGCCAAUUUGCUUGCCAUAAGGCGUUCUCGUGUAACCGUUCUGUUUGACGGUGAGGUGUGUUCGUUGGUGGCUGCUGCUUUGCGGUUUGGGUAGCUAGGCUUCGUGGCGUUUGCGGUCGUGGUAGUUGGCGUUUGCGGCAGUGGUGGUGGGUCGUGGAGGUUGGCUUGACGACGACGUUGGGGUGAAGUGGGGUUGUUAAUUUCGUAGGGGUGGUGGUCUGCACAGUGUGGCAUCGUCAAGCAUUUGGUUAUCGAGGACGACAUUGUAUACCAAUCCAAAGUCCUUUUCCUCCCACUCGCACCACAAAUGCCAAUAUUACAGCCACUGGAAUCCCACAAAGGUUGUACGGGUCAUGUAUCCCAUGAAUUGACUCAGAUGAGAACGAAACAUGGAAUUUUGGGCAUAAUAGGGUGGGGUCUGAUCCUGCCUGUAGGGGCAAUUAUUGCUAGAUAUUUCAGGCACAAGGAUCCCUUAUGGCUCUAUCUCCAUGCAAUCAUUCAGUUUGUGUGAUUCACAUUUGGGCUUAGUACAAUCAUUCUUGGAUUACAACUCUAUUCCAAAAUGCAUGCCCAUAUAUAAGCUCAUAGAGGCAUAGACAUCUUUGCCCUUGUACUAACUAUUCUUCAGCGAUUGUUCUUGAAGUAUUGGCAUAUUUGAAAAGAUCGGAGAUGCAUUCUCUACGUCCUAACUUCCAAAUAGACCUUGUUGGAGGAGCUACAUUUCCAAGGGGAAUGUGAUUGCUACUAGUUUUACAGUUCCACAAACGUUGUCAAUUGUUCCAUUUAAAGCAGCGCUAUACAUUUGAAUUCUUUUUGGCAUGUUCCUUGUUGCCAUUUCUGGUUGUGCUUUUCCUGAUGGUACAUAUUGGGGGAAAUGCGUACAUAACCAGCUACGAGUUUGCCAAGUUGGAGAAUCCUUGUUCGGUAUUCUCACUCAAUUUCACCAGAUUGAAGUCGUUUUUUUGAAGAUUGCCAAGAAUGUAAAUGACGAUUCAUAAGAGCUUUCUAUUUACAGUUACAUUUUAUAAUUCGUAGCCUUUUUUUCUGCUGGAGAUAUAUGUAUUGGAAUUUAAGAAUCAUACUUUGUUCUUUGUUGAAUGAGAAGAGAUUACAUUCAUUAGUA